UGGGAUCUGCCGGGGCCGCGGCCCUCCGAGAGCGGUGUUGUUUCUAAUUAAUGCCUGUGUGGUAGCCUAAUCUGUGUUACCGGGCUCUCUGGAGUAUUGUCGCAACAAAGCCAAAUUGAAAGAAGAUGAUACAGAAGCUGGAUUCAGAAUGGGUGAAUAAAUCUAGCCAUAGAGCUACAGAUUAGCUCUGGAGUUUCACACUGCAUUGCAAAGCAUGCACUGCAGCUCUGACAGAACAUCCUUCCUGCAGCCCCCUCAGACCUUGGAAGUGCUGUGAGGUCUCCACACAGAAGAACCUUCCCUUGUCUGGGCUGAACAGCCCAGCUUCCUCAGCUUGUCUUCACAGGGACAGGCCCCAGCCCUCUGGACUUGCUCAACAUUUCCAUGUCCUUGUGCUGGGACACCAGAACUGGAUGGAGCCCCAGCCCUCUGGACUUGCUGCAGCAGUUCCAUGUCCUUGUGCUGGGACACCAGAAGUGGGUGCAGCACUGCCAGUGGGUGUCACAAGAGCAGAGCAGUGGGGCAGAAUCACCUCCUUUGACCUUCUGGCCAUGCAGCUCAGGAUUCCCUUGGGCUGUGAGCACUCACUGCUGGCUCCUGCUGAGUUUUUGAUCAACCAUCACCCCCAAGACAAUAAUUUUGUGAAGAUGCUGAUGUUCUCAGGGACAACCUGCUUGCCUUUCCAUGACUUGCAGAUCCUGAUUCUCUUAAAGAUUUGAUGACUCUUGAUGUGGGCAAAAGCAAGCAAAAAAAUCCCUGAUGGUAUUGAACAGUGCAGUUAGCAGAACAGCCUUGUAGAGUUGUGGGACUUCUCAUUGUCUCCUUUCUUGAAAAACACAAUAUUGGUGUGUACAAGGCUGUAGUUAACUAUGUUUGUUGGAUAAAUUUAGUUGUCACAAGCUGCAUUUCAUCCUUUGCAGAGCAACAGUGAAAGCAGUAAUUUUAGGACCAAAGCUCACUGGCUCACUCUAAUUUUAGUAGAGCUGUUACAAUUAAAAUUUAGGAAGCCUUUAAUAAGAAUUAAUUUGG